rnacentral:lncRNA from 1 species
ACAUUUACUUUUUUUUUUUGGUUCGCAUAGAGGAGUUUUUUUUUCGGGAAUAUUUAGGAUACGUCGUUUACGUCAAAUUUUUCAAAAACACGUUUAAGGUGAGGGAUUUUACGCUUAUUCAUAUGGUUAUAUAUGUUUUUAUUAUCACGUUUGAUUACUUGUUUACGUGCAUCUUAUGACUAUGUUGUUAUGUGCGGUCAUGGGACCUAAGCCAUUGAUCUAUGAUGUUAUGUGCGAUCAUGGGACCUAAGCCAUUGAUCUAUGAUGUUAUGAGCGAUCAUGGGACCUAAGCCAUUGAUCUAUGUUGAUAAGUUGAUCAUGGGAGCUAAGCCAUUGAUCUAUGUAUGUGUUUGGUAAUGGGACUUAAGCCAUCGACUCAAACUAUGAUUAUGAUUAUGUUUGUCAAGGGGCUCCGGUCUCUUGGCGUAUGUUUGCAAGUAUGAUAACGUGGUUUGAUUAUAUAUGUGACGUAUAUGAAUAUUUUGUUAUGUUCCUCACUGGGUAUAUUUUCAAUAUGCUCACCCCUUAUCUUUUCAGUUUUGCAGUUUCAGAGUCGAAGUGGCCAUGGAAGUGGAGAAUGACUAGGGAUAAGGAUUUUACAUUGAACAUUUUAGUUGAAUUUGUUAAGUUUUAUUUUAUUUUUAUUUUUAUUUUUAUUUUAUGAUACUGCCUUAGUUUUGGCAAGUUGACUUUGAAAUUAGUUUAAAUUUUCUUUAUAAAUCAAGAAAUUACUAUUUUACUAUCUUUUGUUCUCUAAUUUUUUGAAUAGUAAAGUUUAUGAAAAUUGGG